ACUCUCCAUGUUGUAAUCUACCCAGCCUGCUUCGCUCAUUGGCUUUAUCUGUGUAGCCGCUGGAAGUAUUUUUGGCCUGUGGAUACCUUCAUACUACUCCCUUUUACUUCUUCCCACACACCCUUAAUUUAUGGAACUACUUACAGCUCCUGCAACAGAACACCAUGUAACUCUGAAAUCCUCAGCACUUCCGGCCAUCAAUGGUGCUAGCCAAUGGAACUAAUAGUGAUGUCCAGCAGAUGCUACCUAUUAGGAGUGGCAGUGGAGGACAGUGAUGACAUCCACCAAAGCCCAAGGGAAAGCAAUACUUGUGCCCACAAUCUGCAGCAAUUUGUCCAUGACAGACACAGUGGUACCCAGCAAAGAUGGUCAGUGGUUGAACCUGUCUGUGAAUGCAUGUGAAGUCCCUUCUGAGAACUCCCAGAAAUAUCGUGCAGAAAGGAGGGAGCUUUGAAGAGCUGAUAUCCUGUGUUAGUAGGUAAGAGCAAGCACCAGCAAAACUCAGGUUAUAAUACAAUGGACAAUUGUGAGGAUUCAAGUAAUACAUGUAAAAGCACCUAGCAGAACACCUGGCACUUUAUUGGGACCCAGAUAAGAUGCUUUGUCCUGCUGUUAUUAUUAUGAGAAAAGUCAGUUGUGUAUUAUCACAAAGACCAUGCUGUCUAAUCUGUUUUCCACUGCCUUUAACAAGCACUGUUUUACCUUUUCUUUGCCUAUGUUUAUCUCAUUCUGUUAAUGAACAGAUCAACCAAAAGACAAGGCUUUUUCCUCACACCUGCUGUUUACUCACAUGUUUGCUACUUUAUUAUCUUUCUUGGCUUUAAAGAGAAAGAACUGACUUGAUUCCAGUGUUGCCAAGUGUCAGAGAGGUCCAAUAAAAUGAUUUUGCUUCACUCAGCCAAUAAAACAUAUCUUCUGGUCUUAUUUGCAA